rnacentral:rRNA from 1 species
UCCGUAGGGGGCAAGCGUUGUCCGGAUUUAUUGGGCGUAAAGAGCAUGUAGGCGGCCAGAUAGGUCUGUUGUGAAAACUCGAGGCUCAACCUCGAGACGCCGACGGAAACCAUCUGGCUAGAGUCCGGAAGAGGAGAGUGGAAUUCCUGGUGUAGCGGUGAAAUGCGCAGAUAUCAGGAAGAACACCCGUGGCGAAGGCGGCUCUCUGGGCCUGUCCUGACGCUCAGGCGCGAAAGCUAGGGGAGCAAACAGG